CCAUUCCUAUUUUUCUUACCGAUACAUAUGUACAUACAUAAAUAUGUAUGUACUGCUUAUCGGCCUAAUAAUAUGUACAUAUGUAUGUAUGUAGUGUACAGCCACCAUCCUACAGAUUAUCAUCCAGUGAAUUUGCGACACGUUCAACGCGUAGCAGACUGUAACCCAUUCCGUACAAAUUUGGCAAAAAAAUAUUACAAAACUGUCCAGAUGUUGGCGCAGCAUUAGCAGUUAUUUUUACACACUUUACGAAAAACAGGAUUAAAUAAUUUUGUUGUAAAUUUAAUGGAUUCAAAAUGUAGCUGCAUUUAAGGACCCUCAUGCUGCUCCUCCACGUCAUCCUGGACUACCCAUUCAUGCAAUGAAUGGAUAUAUUAAAAUUGACUUAUCAAAAUUAGUCAAUUUGGAAAGAAUUGUAAUCGGAAUCGCGUUAAGAUGGACAAGCUUUAUACAUAUGUACAUAGGCACGUAUGUACAUACAUUUGGCCAUACUUUGGUAUGUACAAACAUGUUUUUGUACACUGUACAAAACUAACGACGAGUGGUUACACGAAGAAAUCUUGUUAUAAUGAAAUUUUUACUUGAUUAAAUUCCUACAUUAAGCCAAUCACGAUAUUAUAAUAGAAUAUCGGCUUUGGCUAUUUUGAACGUGCAAAUAUUGUCCAAUCUUCCAACAUCAUCAUUUAUAAUAUUUCCCAACGAAAGGAACAAGAAAAAGCGAGUGUUCCAGAUAAUUAGCUAAGCUGUUUACAAAUUUAUUUAAAUUCACACCGUAUAAUUAUCAUUAGUAUUAUUGUACCUAAUAGUAGUUAAUCGUAAAAUCUAGAUUUUCAUAUUUACUAUUUUAAAACCCUCACAUUUCAGUCUCACGGUUUAACCUAAAUCAUAAACCAAAUUCUUGGAAUUAAGUUCGACAUCUGGAAAAAAAAUUGUGUAGAGGAAGAAGACAUUUUUACAUAGAAGAGAGAUUAAUACGGCAUAAUUUUGUUAGAAGGACAUCAAUUUCUAUACAUGCCGAACUUAAAUUGACGCUCUUGAUAAAAUCUCAGAGAAUUACAUCACUUAGAAUUUUCAUCAAAAUGUACACAUAUGUAUGCACCAGACCAUCAUAGUUAUAACUUGGAGUAAAUAUUUAAAUACUAAAUACUUGCGUAGAAAA